UACGUAGGUGGCAAGCGUUGUCCGGAAUUAUUGGGCGUAAAGCGCGCGCAGGUGGUUUCUUAAGUCUGAUGUGAAAGCCCACGGCUCAACCGUGGAGGGUCAUUGGAAACUGGGGAACUUGAGUGCAGGAGAGAAGAGUGGAAUUCCACGUGUAGCGGUGAAAUGCGGUAAGAGAUGUGGAGGAACACCAGUGGCGAAGGCGACUCUUUGGCCUGUAACUGACACUGAGGCGCGAAAGCGUGGGGAGCAAACAGG
rnacentral:rRNA from 1 species